ensembl:lncRNA
CACGUACUACGGUGUAUGUAGGUCACUGUUGUUGUCUCAGGCUCAGGAACACACGCUCCAGCACUUGGACAGGGAUGCAUGCGCUGGAAAGAAACAAAAUGGAGCCCGUCACCUCACCACAGCUGCACAGCUGCACCGGGCUGCACCACACACACUUGUGAGACCAGUGCUUCUGUGUUCAGGUCAGCAUUGUCUCUCUGAAGUAGCUAGUGCCCCCAUUUUGGGUCGCCAUUUUGGCAGGAAGUACUUCUUACCAAAAGGUUGUUCUUGAGAGGGGGUUCCUACAUGACAAGCCGAGUUGGAUGCACAGGCACUGGAGACCAUGGCUGAUUCGUGAGAUUAGUUAGUGACUGAUUGGGGAGUGCUUACAUCUCGUAAAGAUGAACAGAUCGUCGCUGUAGAAUAGCUAACACUUGUGGUCGGCAUUUAGACAGUGGGCUUCCUCCCUGGACUCCUCCCCUCCCCGUUGCGUUGUGGGACUGCUCAUAUCGAGGGUGAGGUCACUGCGGAUCAGGGGUCAAAGUUCAACUAAAAUCGUUUUUUUUUUUUUUUUUUUUCUAUUAAAGUAGCUAAAUGUACUCUAGGAUUUACGGCCGCCCGAUAUCCAAAUUCACACACAUCAAUAGGGCUGCUUGUUUCGAGACUGUACCAAGCGUUUAAAGAAACAGAUUCUCCUUUAAAAAGGCAAGCAAAUGAGUUAAUGAGUUGUUUGUUGCUGUUAGCAUAGCAUACUGAUCACACAAUUGAAUCUUCCUAUAGUUUCCUCAGGCUUAGGGCGAUCCAAUCUAGGGCACAUCGUUUACUUGGCCUUAAACCCCCUUCCAAGAUAUUUUUCUGUAUCUUUCCAUUGCAUGUGUAACAUAUUUGAUUAUUUAGAACUAUAUUUGCACAAUAAGGUGGGAACAGGAACUUAAGAGGAGAAAACUUAGAAGGGUAGAACUGGCUACUUUUUACCUACCCAGGGACAAUAGAGAUGCAUCCAAAAUAUUGUGUAAAUAUUGAAUGGGCACCUGAUAAUGAUAAAUAUACUUAUUUAGUCCUUUGUUUCACUUUUUCGUCCGUAUGCAAUUGUACCUUGUCUUUUGUUUGUUUGUUUGUUUGUUUGUUUUUUUGAGGGAAAUGUUGCUAUGUUUACACAGCCAGGAUUGUUUAGACAGUACCUGAGGUCUUACGAAGAUCUUUACAGAAGCCCCCCCCCCCCCCCCCCCCAGGUCAGCGGGUGCUGGUAUGUACAGUGAUACAAGGGUAGACACAUAAAGCCCCAGUACAACACCACCACAGGGGACCCCCAUCUCAAACCACCACAGUGGCCCCCCAGUACAACACCAACACAGGGGGCCCCCAUCUCAAACCACCACAGCGGACCCCCAGUACAACACCACCGCAGGGGACCCCCAGUACAACACCAACUCAGGGGACCCCCAUCUCAAACCACCCAGUGGCCCCCAUCUCAAACCACCCAGUGGCCCCCAUCUCAAACCACCACAGCGGACCCCCAUCUCAAACCACCCAGGGACCCCCAUCUCAAACCACCACAGGGGACCCCCAGUACAACACCACCGCAGGGGACCCCCAGUACAACACCAACACAGGGGACCCCCAUCUCAAACCACCACAGGGGACCCCCAGUACAACACCACCGCAGGGGACCCCCAGUACAACACCAACACAGGGGACCCCCAUCUCAAACCACCACAGGGGGCCCCCGUCUCAAACCACCCGGUGGCCCCCUCAUCAGGGCAUCAGGCAGGCAGGCUGAGGCAGGGCCCACUCGGAUCAUAGCUGCCCCUAGCUGGCCUCUUGGCCAUUGGCCAUCCCCGCCCCACACACACACACGGAUGGACCCUUUGCGAGGGUGUGUCAGGCCCAGGUCCUGAAUAUUGGGGUGACCCUUGAGGUUGCCCUGUCUUGACCAUUUGAAUUCUUCAAGACUGAAACAUUUAAGAGAAAAAGGUGUUUCUGCAGAACACAGUAAAGGGGGAUCAAUCAAGAUAGCUAGGGCCUGCCUCCUCAUACACACACCCUCAGUGUCUUCCUCCUCACCAUCACACUCCUCACACCAUCACUCGACACACACUACUUACCACAUGUCCGGUACAGACUUGAGUCUGAGAGACUCUACUCUUGCAUGCCUUAACAUCUCCGCCUCCCUCCAUCCCCUCAGCAGGUGUGGGGGAGUAUUUCAAACGAUUGUCCUCCUUGAUUGUGUACGAUGCUCUUGACUGUGAAACACACACACCUACCUGUACAUGACUCUUCCCUCGAAAAACAUUCCCAGCAUAGGUCAACAACGGUCACAGUGUCUCUCAUUCCAUGCCUUCGUUAAUUUCAUUUGUAACCAGUUCUAUUCAUUUCUCAAAAGCUUGCUUCGUUUUUUUUCUACUCAUUAAUGCUAUCUAUCCUGUCUGUUCAUCUACUGGUUUUUAAUGUUUAUCAGUCCCCUCAGAGGCCAUUGCUUUUCUCAGGGUAGUAGGACUUCAAAUCGAGUUAACUGAAAAGCAGACUGGAAAAAAAAAGAUUAUGAUGAACACUAAUUCACGUGUUCUGUAUGCCUCGAGCAUGUCCUUCAGAGGCAGAUUACAUCAACAGAUCUGCUCUGCAACCUCACUGUAUGGAAUCACUGCAUCUUCACUGUAUGGAAUCACUGCAUCUUCACUGUAAGGAAUCACUGCAUCUUCACUGUAUGGAAUCACUGCAUCUUCACUGUAUGGAAUCACUGCAUCUUCACUGUAUUGAAUCACUGCAUUCUAACUAUUGAAUCACUGCAUUCUAACUAUUGAAUCACUGCAUUCUAACUGUAUUGAAUCACUGCAUUCUAACUGUAAGGAAUCACUGCAUUCUAACUAUUGAAUCACUGCAUCUUCACUGUAUGGAAUCACUGCAUCUUCACUGUAUGAAAUCGCUGCAUCUUUGCAUAAAGCCACUCAAUAACAGGCGGCUGAUCAGACAGAGCUCUUAGCUCCAGCUCUUCAUUCAUUGGUACCAUGUGGUGUGUUGCAAUGCAAGUCAUUUCCAUUUCUCUCCGCCUCAGGCAAUUACUCUUGAAUAAGGUUGAUGUAAGUGAUAUUUAGAGAGGCCGUGACCCACACAGAUGUAUCCACUCUUGAACCACAUCUUCUCAGUGAGCCAAUUUGCUGCAGUCCCAGCUCUCGCCUGUGGUGGGGGACAAAUACGAAAACCCCGAUCUGAUCCAGAUCAGUUGCAUGCAUGUUUACAACUCCACUGCACUAACCUUUCAAUUACAAAAAGUACAAACUCCGCGUCAGGAUUUGGCCAACACCUAACAGCCUUUAACCACACAUUAACUAAAAGAAUGGGUCGUCUCUGUAAUGGAACAGUCGUCUGCACCUCUUACCAGUUCUCUGAGCACUAUCUUCCACAGAUCUCCAAGUCGGCUGUAGGAUCUCUGUCUGUUAUGCGUGUACUGUGGCCGUGCGGUCUGUCCCACUGUCUCACUGAUGUUCCGUAACUUUUUUGGAGAGAAAAAAAAGCGCAGCAUGACUGAAGAAUAGAAGAAAAAAAAAAAUAAUUCUAUGCAAGUGUUGCAUGAGAUCUGAUUGUUUAUUUCUACAGUUCUGCAGUACUUAAGUAAUGCAUCGGUUAUUCUUCCUCUUCUUCUUGUUAUUUAAGUAGUAUUAUUAUAUAGGGCAUUUCACUCAUCAACCUAGUUUUCUGCUGACUAUUAGAGGAUUAAAGGACUGCACUCAAUUGUGUAGGGUUGAAAAAAUGCACUGAUGACGUAGAGAGAGAGAGAGAGGGAGAGAGAGAGAGAGAGAGGGAGAGAGAGAGACAGAGAGAGAGAGAGAGAGAGAGACAGCAAGAGAGAUAAGAAUGUCCACAAAAAACGUAAUGUAGCCAGAGGGGACGGGUUCACCCCUCUAUAGGGGGGAAACACUGUCCAAGGUGUCCGAUUAGGAGACCUCAUGUCAGAAUUCAACUGUGAGACCAAACCUCUCACGGAGUGAACACAUCUCAACCGGAAAGACACCGUGUGCUCUUUCCCCUCAACAUAAAAACCAACAACGGGUCUCUCCUCACAUAGGACAUGGAUGUUUUGGAAAUUUGUAUUUUAUGUUUUGCUUUUUUUUUGUUUUCUUUCUCUUCUGUGAACUCAGAAGCCUUGCAUGUCUUCUCACAUUAUAAGCUAGUUCUUCCCAUGUUUUGGCAGAAUGUUUUUUCAAAGCGGACCAAUAUGAUCAUUUAAAAUAUUAAUAAACAACAACAAAACAUCAAGGGGUUACUUUGGGUAUAAGAAGCACAAUUUUUACAACCUUUAUGAUUUAGUGACUUCCUUUUGUCUUGUAUUCUGUAUGCAAUACGAACAUUGAAAUAUAACGCCUUAGAACAUCAAGACUUCCUCUGUGUAGGUAGAAAAGAAGAUAUUGCACUAAUUUCUUUUUUGAUGUCUGCUUUGCAAUGCAAUACAUGCACUGAUUAUAGCCCCAGACUUCACAGGACACUCCGAUGGUCUAUAUGCGUGAUGCUUCACGCCCUGCCCUGAUUUUCUGAGAAGAGUUUAAAAAAAAAAUGUAAAGAAAAAAAUCAAAUAAAACUUUAAAACGUCAUUAAAAAGAUUUCCUGCCUGACGCUGUAUAGAAUGCUUUCUAUUUCAAUUUAAAAAAAAGGAAGAAAAUGCUAUCAGUUAUAAUAAACAUAACAUUUUAUGUACUUUUAACCUUCCUGUGUUGCUGUUAUUUUAUCUGGGUGUCAGCAUUUUUUUUGUCAUGGAUGAAGUAACUGCUCCAAGUACAAGGAAACAACUUAUUGUUGGUACUCUCCCAAGCAAUGCGGUCAACAGCUAAACAUAUCUACACCGUCCAGUUCUGUUGACGGUACAGUAUGUAGGAUCUAGUGGCACCUAGUGGUGAAGCUGCAGAUUGCAACCAACUGAAUACCUUUCCCAUUCCAAGCGUGUAAGAGCUACGGUUGCUGUCAGGUGCCAUAACAACGCGAAAAGUGCCAGGAUUUUGGUUUGUCCAUAUCAGGGGCGAAUUUAGGUUCCCACUUUUGGGGGGGCUAAGCCCCUAGAUAAAACCUAAUCUUUUUCCUGUGACCCAGCAAAACUAGGGGGGUUUUGGGGCAUGGACAUUUUUUAAAUAUCCUUUUAAAUAGUGUCCUCUAGUGGUUGUAGGAAGAACAAUUUACUAAAUAACAAUUUAGAAAUAUGGCACAACAAUAAAACAUAUUGAAAACAUCUGCUGAGAUAGGUGCUAAUUAUACUGUAGCACAAUCUUUCCAAUGGUAGGGAUUUGCAGCUCAAGUGAGUAGGUUAACGUUGUAGGCUAGAGUUCACUUGCUAGUUAUAGCUGGCUGAGCUACUGAGUAGGCUAACAUACCCACAGGAUCAAUGAACCGGCAUGAUAAAAGAGAGCCACGACAUCUAUAAUUAACUCGUGAUGAUUUAAACAUUUCGUUUCUUUUACUAUUUUAAACUUCAUGUGCUAUACCUUUAUAUCCAGCAACUGAUUAUGGCAGCUUUCACCAGCUU